GCCAGAGUGGCGGAAUUGGCAGACGCGCUGGAUUCAAAAUCCAGUGCCCGUUGAGGGCGUGUGGGUUCGAGUCCCACCUCUGGUA
rnacentral:tRNA from 1 species